UCAGUGAAGGGGGGACGGAGAAGGUUAUGCUAGCUUGGCGUUGGUUGUCCAAGUGAAAGUGCGUAGGGUUGAAUUUUAGGAAAAUCCGGAAUUCUACAUGCCUGAGACACGAGACGAGACACUACGGUGUUGAAGUAGCAAAUACCCUGCUUCCAGGAAAAGCCUCUAAACUUAUGAUAUAGCGAACCGUACCCCAAACCGACACAGGUGGUCAGGUAGAGAAUACCAAGGCGCUUGAGAGAACUCGGGUAAAGGAACUAGGCAAAAUGGUGCCGUAACUUCGGGAGAAGGCACGCUGGUGGUAGGUGAGACCCCUUGCGGGUGGAGCUGACGCCAGUCGAAGAUACCAGGCCCCUGCGACUGUUUAUUAAAAACACAGCACUCUGCAAACGCGUAAGCGGACGUAUAGGGUGUGACGCCUGCCCGGUGCCGGAAGGUUAAUUGAUGGGGUUAGCAUUCGUGCGAAGCUCUUGAUCGAAGCCCC
rnacentral:rRNA from 1 species